AGCUACCUGCAGUCGACGGCAGCACAGGAGAGCUUGCUCUCUGGGUGGCGAGUGGCGGACGGGUGAGGAAUACAUCGGAAUCUACUCUGUCGUGGGGGAUAACGUAGGGAAACUUACGCUAAUACCGCAUACGACCUACGGGUGAAAGCAGGGGACCUUCGGGCCUUGCGCGAUUGAAUGAGCCGAUGUCGGAUUAGCUAGUUGGCGGGGUAAAGGCCCACCAAGGCGACGAUCCGUAGCUGGUCUGAGUGGAUGAUCAGCCACACUGGAACUGAGACACGGUCCAGACUCCUACGGGAGGCAGCAGUGGGGAAUAUUGGACAAUGGGCGCAAGCCUGAUCCAGCCAUACCGCGUGGGUGAAGAAGGCCUUCGGGUUGUAAAGCCCUUUUGUUGGGAAAGAAAUCCAGCUGGCUAAUACCCGGUUGGGAUGACGGUACCCAAAGAAUAAGCACCGGCUAACUUCGUGCCAGCAGCCGCGGUAAUACGAAGGGUGCAAGCGUUACUCGGAAUUACUGGGCGUAAAGCGUGCGUAGGUGGUCGUUUAAGUCCGUUGUGAAAGCCCUGGGCUCAACCUGGGAACUGCAGUGGAUACUGGGCGACUAGAAUGUGGUAGAGGGUAGCGGAAUUCCUGGUGUAGCAGUGAAAUGCGUAGAGAUCAGGAGGAACAUCCAUGGCGAAGGCAGCUACCUGGACCAACAUUGACACUGAGGCACGAAAGCGUGGGGAGCAAACAGGAUUAGAUACCCUGGUAGUCCACGCCCUAAACGAUGCGAACUGGAUGUUGGGUGCAAUUUGGCACGCAGUAUCGAAGCUAACGCGUUAAGUUCCCCCCCCUGGGGAAGUACGGUC
rnacentral:rRNA from 1 species